AGUGAACGCUGGCGGUAGGCCUAACACAUGCAAGUCGAACGGCAGCACAGUAAGAGCUUGCUCUUACGGGUGGCGAGUGGCGCACGGGUGAGGAAUACAUCGGAAUCUACUUUUUCGUGGGGGAUAACGUAGGGAAACUUACGCUAAUACCGCAUACGACCUACGGGUGAAAGCAGGGGAUCUUCGGACCUUGCGCGAUUGAAUGAGCCGAUGUCGGAUUAGCUAGUUGGCGGGGUAAGGGCCCACCAAGGCGACGAUCCGUAGCUGGUCUGAGAGGAUGAUCAGCCACACUGGAACUGAGACACGGUCCGGACUCCUACGGGAGGCAGCAGUGGGGAAUAUUGGACAAUGGGCGCAAGCCUGAUCCAGCCAUACCGCGUGGGUGAAGAAGGCCUUCGGGUUGUAAAGCCCUUUUGUUGGGAAAGAAAAGCAGCAGGUUAAUACCCCGCUGUUCUGACGGUACCCAAAGAAUAAGCACCGGCUAACUUCGUG
rnacentral:rRNA from 1 species